UACGUAGGGCGCAAGCGUUAUCCGGAAUUAUUGGGCGUAAAGAGCUCGUAGGCGGUUUGUCGCGUCUGCCGUGAAAGUCCGGGGCUCAACUCCGGAUCUGCGGUGGGUACGGGCAGACUAGAGUGAUGUAGGGGAGACUGGAAUUCCUGGUGUAGCGGUGAAAUGCGCAGAUAUCAGGAGGGACACCAAUGGCGAAGGCAGGUCUCUGGGCAUUAACUGACGCUGAGGAGCGAAAGCAUGGGGAGCGAACAGG
rnacentral:rRNA from 1 species